AUGGUGUCGGACAUGAGCAAGGACGUGAAUUUCUCCAAGGAAGAAGUCACCUCGCACCCGCGCGUUCUCGAAGGUGAGGAGCAGACGAUUGCACCGGCACGGCAGUCUUCCAUCUUCGCGCCAACAUUGGACGAGCUGCAAUACUCUAUGUGCGAGGCAGGGCACAACUUUGGGUCCAUGAACAUGGACGAGUUCAUGAGCAACAUAUGGAAUGCCAAGGAGUUCCAAGAGGCGACCGGUGGUGUCUUGGUGGGCAUGGAGGUGGCUCCGGUGGUGGGUGCUGAUGGAGGCCGAGGUGGCGAAGAUGCAGGAGGAAGCAACCAAGCCCGACAGGAGUCGUUCUCCUUGCCUCCCCCGCUAUGCCGGAAGAUGGUGGAGGAGGUGUGGGCUGAGAUCAACAGGGAGACCCGCCUGGUGCAUUCCCAGCCUCAGUCCGCGCGGCCCUCGCCAUUGAUUCCCGUCGAACCACCGGCGGGGAAUGGUGGUGGGGUCGCGGCGAAUGAACAGCGGGGGACGCUUGGAGAGAUGACGCUAGAACAAUUUCUUGUCAAGGUUGGUGUGGUCCGAGGAUCUGGCACUGGCGGCCAAGCACCUGUGCCGGUCGGCAUGGUCCAUGGACAGAUGAACCCUGCACCGGCCAACGACAUGUUCCAGGUGAUGGGCGAUGGCAUGGUGUACAUCCCCAACGGGUAUGCAGGGAUAGUCGUGGUGCCGCCACCACCACCUCCUCAAGGUGGGGUGGGUAUCGUGAGCCCAGGGUCGUCGGACGGGAGGAGCACCAUGAUGGAGGUUGACAUGAUGAACUGUAUGGGCGACAAAACGAUGAUGGAUAACAGCGGCGCGCGGAAGCGCGGCGCUCCGGAGGAUCAGUCCUGUGAGGGGAGCAUCGAGCGCCGCCACCACCACAUGAUCAAGAACCAUGAGUCAGCCGCACAAUCGUGUGGCAGGAAGCAGGCUUAUACCAAGGAGCUUGAAGCCAAACUAAACCACCUCAAGGAGGAGAACGCUCGUCUGAAAGCUGAGGAGAAGACGAUUUUGCUGACCAAGAAACAAAUGGUAUGUACAUUUUCCCACCAUCAUGUGCUAGUGGAGAAGAUGAUGGAGCAGUCCAAGGAAAAUGUGAACACCAAGAAGGGUGGCACCCUGUCGCGGCGCUGCGCUAGCUGCAUCUGGUGA
rnacentral:rRNA from 1 species